rnacentral:rRNA from 1 species
UAGUAACGGCGAGUGAAGCGGCAAAAGCCCAAACUGGAAAUCUUGUACCUUCGGUACACGAAUUGUAAUCUAUAGGAUGUAUGCUCACCGGACGGUCGCGCAGAAGUGUCCUCGAAUGGACCGCCAGAGAGGGUGAUAGCCCCGUAUGUGGUGCGACUGUCUAACGAGUGUGCGUUCCAAGAGUCGGGUUGUUUUGUAUUGCAGCCCUAAGUGGGAGAUAAACUUCUUCUAAGGCUAAAUAUAUAUGGGAAACCGAUAGCGAACAAGUACUGUGAAGGAAAGAUGAAAAGAACUUUGAAAAGAGAGUCAAAAGACUUGAAAUCGUUGAGAAGGAAGCGGUAGAAAUUUAUUCUUCGGCAGAGGCCGGUGGUAGUCGCCAAACCAUUGCUGGGAACUAGUACCGCAAGGGCUAGUCUUAGCACCUGGGGAAGUGGCUGCUUUGACCUUUGUCGUGAGGCAAAAUGGGGUCGAACUUGAGCAAAGGCUUCCUACGCCUGGCCUGAUUCGUCAGGCAGCGUAGGUGUGCCGGCUCGGGGACGGCCUGAGGAUGCUUUGUGCGAUUUUGCCAAAAUGGUUUUUACCGACCCGUCUUGAAACACGGACCAAGGAGUCUAACAUAUACGCGAGUGUGCUGGUGGAAAAACCAACACGCGAAAUGAAGGUGAUUGAUGCCAAGCCGCAAGGCAGCAGCAUCGACCGACCAUGAUCCUCUGGUGAAAGGUUUGAGUAUGAGCGUAUCUGUUAGGACCCGAAAGAUGGUGAACUAUGCCUGAGUAGGCUGAAGCCAGGGGAAACUCUGGUGGAGGGCCGUAGCGGUUCUAACGUGCAAAUUGAUCGUCAAACUUGGGUAUAGGGGCGAAAGACUAAUCGAACCAUCUAGUAGCUGGUUCCCUCCGAAGUUUCCCUCAGGAUAGCUGGGACAAAUACGCAGUUUUAUUAGGUAAAGCGAAUGAUUAGAGGAAUCUGGAGUAUAAUACUCUAGACCUAUUCUCAAACUUUAAAUUGGUAAGAACCUCGGCCUUUCUUAAUUGAGGCACGGGGGCUCAAUGCGUGUCCUUAGUGGGCCAUUUUUGGUAAGCAGAACUGGCGAUGAGGGUUACUCCUAACGUUGAGUUAAGGUGCCAAACUACACGCUCAUCAGACACUACAAAGGGUGUUGGUUCAUAUAGACAGCAGGACGGUGGCCAUGGAAGUCGGAACCCGCUAAGGAGUGUGUAACAACUCACCUGCCGAAUGAACUAGCCCCGAAAAUGGAUGGCGCUUAAGCGUGUGACCGAUACUCAACCAUUGCAUCGAGAGUGAGGUUGCAAUGAGUAGGGGGGCGUGAGCGUUGUGGCGAAGCCUCUGGCGUGAGCCUGGGUUGAACAGCGCUUAGUGCAGAUCUUGGUGGUAGUAGCAAUUAUUCAAAUGAGAACUUUGAAGGCCGAAGUGGAGAAGGUUUCCGUGAGAACAGCAAUUGGUCACGGGUGACUCGAUCCUAAGACAUGGGGGAAAUCCUUGUUAAGUGAGCCGUAUGGCUCGUGGUCGAAAGGGAAUGAGGUUAAUAUUCCUCAAGCUGGAUGUGGGUGUUGUAUGGCAACAUAAGUGAGCUCAGAGACGCCAGCGUGAGCCUCUGGAAGAGUUAUCUUUUCUUUUUAACAGAUUAGCGACCUUGAAAUUGGAUUACCCAGAGCUAAGGUUGUAUAUCUGGAAGAGCACCCUGCUUUUCGGGGUGUCAGGUGCGCUCAUGAUGGCCCAUGAAAAUCUGAGGA